AUCCCGUGCAUACAGACUAUCUACCAUGUGCAAGCGCAUGGAAUGGUCCGGCGUCGUAUGUAAAAGCACCCGGACAUUGUAUUGAAAAUUUCCGAGAUCAGUUCUCCAUGAUGCAUGCCAACCAGUUUAUUUGGAUGCCUUAUCUCCAACGGGAGUUGCCGGAAAGUUGUGAUGCCGGUCGUCCUGUAUGGAUGUCGAUAACAACGCUUAUUUGCUGGAAUCUGGCUGAGCCACACCUGCCACACCGAG